GGAAGAAGCUCGCGGAGUAGGGUAACUGCUCUUCCGCUUAGCUUAGCUAAGCUGUUUACCAUGGCGGAGGCAGAUCAAUACCUUUGGACCAAGUCUCUCCAACCUACCUAAAUUGUCCUACGACGACGUCCUAAGGAUAGUAAAUCAGCACUUACGUGUCGAAACAUCUAAACUACGCAAAGGAUAUAAGUUAUUCUGGGAGAAGUACAUUUUUAAUUACAUAGGGGAUUCGCUCCAGGGGAUUCGCCCGGAACCCAUUGACCAACUUGUGGUCAGGAAACCCAAGGUUUGGGUUAGGUGUUUUAUUUGAGCACAUACAUGG
ensembl:lncRNA